rnacentral:rRNA from 1 species
AUUGAACGCUGGCGGCAGGCUUCACACAUGCAAGUCGAACGAGUGUCGGACGGGAGAGUAAUGCUUGGGCAUCUAGCUCAUGGAGGGGGAUAACUACGGGAAACUGUAGCUAAUCCCGCGUACCAUAGGAUGAGCCCACGUGGGAUUAGGUAGUUGGUGAGGUAAAGGCUCACCAAGCCGACGAUCUCUAGCUGGUAUGAGAGGAUGACCAGCAAAACUGGGACUGGGACACGGCCCAGACUCAUAAGGGAGGCAGCAGUGGGGAAUAUUGCGCAAUGGGGGAAACCUGACGCAGCCAUGCCGCGGGAAUGAAGAAGGCCUUCGGGUUGUAAAGUUCUUUCGGUAGCGAGGCGUUAACUACAGAAGAAGCACCGGCUAACUCCGUGCCAGCAGCCGCGGUAAUAC